rnacentral:tRNA from 1 species
GCCUGGGUGGCUCAGUCGGUUAAGCGCCCGACUUCAGCUCAGGUCACGAUCUCGCGGUCCGUGAGUUCGAGCCCCACGUCGGGCU